UGAAUCCCCAUAGUAUACAAUUUAUUUCUCCAUGGGCAACAAGACAUGCCAGCAACUGCACGGCUACUUCUCCAUUUAGCCAUAGGGAGACCCCAUCUCUAAGAAAAAAAAUUAGCCAAGUGUGGUGGCAAAUGCCUGUGGUCCUAGCUACUCAAGAUGCUGAGGUGGGAGGAUCACUUGAGCCCAGGAGGUCGAGGCCGCAGUGAGCUAUGAUUCACAUCACUGCACUCCAGCCUGAGUGAGAGGGAGACCCUGUCUCAAUCAAUCAAUCAAUAAACACAGAAGCAAAGUACUGAAGAUAAUGCUGUAUAUUUCUGGAUCUAUCCACACUUGUUCUGCAGAAGCCCAGCCCCUUCAAAUUCACCCAAAAUUGUUUUUGAAGUCUGUUGGGGGUGUCCCAUGUGUAUGAAACCAGCUCUUUUGUCUACCUCCCUGGUCUUCCAUUUCCAUCCUCUCCUACAGUGAUGCCCCCUGCCAGUGCCCCAUGGGGCAGCUCUCUUCACAUGGCCAUGCUAGUGAGGAGUGCUCCUCAUUCCUGCUGGUGAGUGCCUGCCAGCAUCUCAGGCAAGGGACUGGAGUUCUUACAAGACUACCAUCCCCUACCUGGGCCCAAACUGACCUUCUUCUAUUAUUUCUCUUUUGCAGCUAUCCCAGAGAAUUCUGCCACCUUCCAGAGCCAACUGUUUUCCCCUUUCUCUGCGUUUGAUAGAAAAGAAAGAUAAGAAAUAAAUAGGGCUUAAUUUCCCAAACCAUUUAUGUAGUUUUUCCUCCUUUUCAGGACAGAGAAUAAAGGGUCCCUGUAUUCAUGCCUUCCUGGAAAUCUCAGUGCAAGGCCCUAUCAGGAGGUUUCCUGGAGCAGCUAAGGGAACAGCUAGACCACCCAGGAAGAAAUGACAGAAGCCUACCUGACUUCCAAUCUGCUUGCUUCAUGGUGUAAUGGGGGCCUAGACAGAAGCACCCCAAGGACACUUACAACAACUGUUCUGCCAGCUCUAGUCCAUUGGAGAAGAUGUGCCAACAUACCUUCUCACCAUCCCUAGAGCCCAACCUUGCUAUGGAAAGGUCAAACCCUUACCAUUGGCCCUGCCAAGGAUCCCCAGACAGAGAAGCACAAUGGAGGCCAUAAAUUAUGGCUUCUUAUCAUGGCCUCCACAUAACUUAAACUCUGGAUGGUGAAUGAAAUCUGGGGCCAAGUCUUAAAGGGUCAGGGUAGCCAAUGAGCAUAACUCAAUAUUUGUGUUUCUAAGAGAAAACCACAGAACCUCCAUAUCCAUGGCAAACUGGCCAGCCACAGGCUGGAUCCAGUGUGCAGUAGUGUUUUGUGUACACCAUUCACUAUUUGUCUACUUGGGUUAAAAAUGUUUUAUAUUAGUUAGCAAUGUUUAAACAUUGGGAGAAUUAAAGGGAAAUGAAAACGUACUUCCCACAAAUACUUGCACAUAAAUAUUCACAGCAGCAUUGUUUAUAAUUGCCCAAAACUAGAAACAACCCAAAUAUCCAUCAACUGAUGAAUGAUAAACAAGUUGUGGUAUAUUCAUCCAAUAAAACAAUAUUCAGCAAUAAAAAUAAACAAAUCAGGCACUUAAUAUAAUUGAAUAUCAAGGUCAUUAUGUUGAGUGAAAGAGGCCAGAAAAUAAAAGUAUACACUAUUUGAUUCCAUUUAUAUAAUAUUCUAGAAAAUGAAAACCAGUCUAUACUUACAGAAAACAAGGUGGUAGCUUACAGAGAUGGGGUAGAGGGAGGGAGAGAUGACAGAGAGGCAUAAAAAAACUUUCCGGACAAUGAAAAUGUUCUGUAUUUUAAUUGUGGUGAUGGUUUCAUGGAUGUACAAGUUCAUCAAAUCUCAUCAAGUUAAAUAUAUGCAUUUAUUUUAUAUUAAGUGUACCUCAAUAAAGCAGAAAAAUUUAAAAUUGGUAAUAUUUAUAUACAAAUUGAGAUAUCUAUAUUUCUUGAAAAUCAAAAUGUCUGACAUCAUUUGGUCUACAUAUUUAUCUGCCAAAAAUACAGGAGAUAGACAGUAGCUGUCCUUUAGAAGGGGCAUACCCUUUCGAGUUUGCAACAGGCCUUCAUACUUCCUGCUGCUUACCCAGCAUUCAUUACAUGUUUAUUGUCAUUUAUUUAAGUUACUUAUUGUGAACCUAAUGCAUGUAUGGCCUCAUUCUAGGUACUGGAGACUAAACAUGCAAACACACCUAACUGGCAUGGUUUCCAUUUGCCUAAUUGUCACGGGGUACCAUGAAGUUUACAUUUUAGUGAGAUUGGAGAAAGAUAGACAUUUAGAGUUAAUAAGUUGGAUAAAUAGUAUAUUAGGUGGAAAGAAGUAUAAGAAAAAAACAUACAGCCAGGAAGAAGUAUAGACAGUUCCAGAGCUAAAAUGUUAGCCAUGGAUCCCAGGAAGUCCUCACUGAAAGGUGACUUUGGGAGGAAACCUGUAGAAGGUGAGGAAUUGAGCUAUGCAUAUAACCCAGGGAAGAGCAUUCUAGACAGACAUGACAGUCCAUGAGAAGAUUCUAGGCAAGGGAGGUAGCCCAGGGUCUUCAACCAACAGCAAGGAGGCUAAUCUAGCUUGGCACAGAGUAACAAGAGAUGAGAUCAGAGAAAUAACAGGGUAGAGAUGGUGUGGAGUCUUAUAGAUUAUUGAAGGGAGUUUGUCAUUUACUGGAUGAAAUAGGAAGCCUUUGGAGGGUGUUGUUAAUUGUAAUCAUGAUAGGGUUAUUACUUUUCUUAUAGUAGAGUUCAAAAGAAAGGAAAACUUAUUUUUGUAACCAGGUCAUUAACCUGGCCCCUGUAGACAUCUGAGUUUGUAAUUUCUGUCAUAUUUUAUCUAAAUAUCAUGAUAGAGAACAAAAUAUCUGACUGGUUCUGUACUGAUAGGCAGUCAGUCAUGCUGGCUAACUUUCAGAAAUAUGCCAUGUUUGGUGGUCUCCUUUCUCUCUGUUUUCUCUAGGUUGAAUAUGGGGAUUCAACCACAUCACUUCACUCUCUCACCCCUUAUAGCACACGCUUCUCUCCCUUUCCUUGGCAUCCCCUGGCCCUAUCAUGACCUGAGGUCUUCCCUACCACUUUGGGGGCUCCCAUCUAAAAAUGCAUUCUAAGUCCUCUACCUGGAACUAAUUUAUCUCCAGGUCUACACUACUGAUAACAAGAUAUACGAUCCCUUGCAAAGGAACUUGUAACACCCUGAAAUUACUCAGAAAUCACACCUCACAGGAGAUUGAGACCAUCCUGGCUAACACGGUGAAACCCCGUCUCUAAAAAAAAAAGAAAGAAAAGAAAUCACACCUCACAGGCAAACUCUGUAAGUGGGCUCCUGUAGGAAAGCAGCCUGUUGCAUGGCAAGAAAAAUGCCAUCUUGAAGUGAAAUCGUCAUUAAUUCCUGCAUAUCCAGGCAUUCCCACAGCAAGGUCAAGAAACAAUGCCUUUCGGGGGUAGAUCUGCAUAUACCUACUCACCCAGAACAUUUGGUGAGUCAGUCAGGAGCUAAGAGGCCAAGAGACAGGAAAGGGGAAUGAAGCAUCUGUACGGGAAAUCCCAGGCCAGCCACGUCUAUGUGGGAUGGUGUGGCACGUCUGUUAGAUGCAUUUGGACUCUGUGUGACUAUGGAGACACCCUGAACAAGCUGGUUGGCCUAGAGUGGUUAUUAACUGAAAGGCAUAUGGUGCAGUGUGGUAAGGAAGGGCAGUGGAUAGCCACUGCAGUGGGUUGGCUGCUUCUGUGGGCCAUUUGUUUGUCAACACAGGUUUAGCUAGCAAUAGAAAUGAAAAGCAAAUGGCUAGAGGAAAAUUGCACCAACCUGAUAGAAAAGGACAUGUGCCUUUUCACUUCUCUGAUUGCGUCCAGUGUAGCUACAUGUUUUACCAAAAAAAAAAAGAAAAAAAAAAAGCCUGCUAUAGAAAGAAUAUUUCAGGAGGGUAGGUGUGGAAAUCUAUGGUCUCUCAGCUGCCCAAGGCAUUGCUUCUGUUCAUAGGUUCCUAUCAAAUGUUUCUUUCUGAGAAACUGGAUUUGUCAGCCUCUUUUCUCUGGCUUCCCAGCUUCCUUGGCCUUUGAGGGGGAGACCUGCAUAUAUCUGUUCACUGCAGAACAGCCCCAUACAUGAAAUGAAUUUUGAGAUUAGAGGAAGAAGUUUCAUUUAUAAGCCCAAAGCAAACAAUUAGGAAAAAAAAUUAUGCUCAGGAAGUUAGGGACUAAGAACUAACCUAAUUACAGGGCUAAAGAAGGAAAUUUGGCCAAAAUAAUCUGACAGAAUGCAAUUUCAACAAAGGCAAAUUAAACCAAGGUAAGUCACUCCAUGUACAUUUGUGUCUAAAUUAAUAUCCCUAGUCACAAAUAACAACUUAAACUUAUAGAAGUAGUUGAUGAAACCAGCUGACACAGAGAGCCAUGUAUCAAUCUUGAUUAUAGAACCUUCUGGAGAUCAUGGUUAUUUCAAAAUAUAUGGACACUGAGGGUGCAUCAAAAGGGCUAAAAGAUUAUGGCUAGAAGAUAAAAUAGAUGUGUCUCUCUAUUCCUUUCUCUAGAUAUAGCUAAAAUCUCUGGACAUCAUACAUAAACAUAAAAAUACUCGGAAAGGUGGAGACAAAAAAACAGGUCAGUUAGGGACUUUGAAACCUUAAAAAACAGCAUGGCACUGAGGUCUCUAGAUUUCCUCGUGCCUUAUAUAUUUCAUACUGGAUGCUAGAGAAGCCUGCAACCCAAAAUACCAACAUACACUGAUAAAAGAAAAAAAAGCCCCAAGAAAACCAAGGAAGGGUCAAAGGGUCAGCCUAGUGAAAAAGA
rnacentral:lncRNA from 10 species